rnacentral:misc_RNA from 1 species
GAAGAUUCUAAUUUUGUUUGUGGGGUUUUUGUUUCUAGUGGCUGAAAUGUUGAAUUUGGUGAGUUUUGGAUGCUCAUUUUGUUUGUGGGUUCAAAAAAUUUGAUCGGGAAAACCCUAAAGAUUGUAUUUUUGUUUGUGGGUUUUUGUUUCUGGUGACCGAAAUGUUGAAGUUGAUGAGUUUUGGGUGCUCAUUUUGUUUGUGGGUUCCAAAUUUUUGGGGUUAUUGAAAAUUUGAUCUGGAAACUCAAAAGAUUUUUAACUUUAU